AUGAACCCUUACAGGUGCAAAGAAGCACUUCUAUGAACUAAUAUCUCAUAAUUCUCUUUGUCUGCAGUGCAUGAUGGCUGACUGACAACCUUCACAGCUGGUGCCACAAUAAUUUUGAAAAGAAUACUGUUUUAAAAAGAGAGAGAAAAGAAGCUGCUGCUCAAAGACAGAGAAGCAGGAAACACUUCUGGCAGCGAGAAUUUCCUGAGAGCGAAUCGAGAGGAUGGCU
ensembl:lncRNA